rnacentral:rRNA from 1 species
UACGGAGGGUGCAAACGUUGCUCGGAAUCAUUGGGCGUAAAGCGCACGUAGGCGGUCCAGUAAGUCGGGUGUGAAAGCCCUCGGCUUAAACCGAGGAAGUGCAUUCGAAACUGCUGGACUUGAAUACUGGAGAGGAUCGCGGAAUUCCCGGUGUAGAGGUGAAAUUCGUAGAUAUCGGGAGGAACACCAGUGGCGAAGGCGGCGAUCUGGACAGAUAUUGACGCUGAUGUGCGAAAGCGUGGGGAGCAAACAGGG